rnacentral:rRNA from 1 species
AUUUGAAAUCUGGCGCAAGCCCGAGUUGUAAUUUGUAGAGGAUGCUUCUGGGUAGCGGCCGGUCUAAGUUCCUUGGAACAGGACGUCAUAGAGGGUGAGAAUCCCGUAUGUGAUUGGCUUGCACCCUCCACGUAGCUCCUUCGACGAGUCGAGUUGUUUGGGAAUGCAGCUCUAAAUGGGAGGUAAAUUUCUUCUAAAGCUAAAUACCGGCCAGAGACCGAUAGCGCACAAGUAGAGUGAUCGAAAGAUGAAAAGCACUUUGGAAAGAGAGUUAAAAAGCACGUGAAAUUGUUGAAAGGGAAGCGCCCGCAACCAGACUUUGCGGCGGUGUUCCGCCGGUCUUCUGACCGGUUCAUUCGCCGCCGUGAGGCCAUCAUCGUCUGGGGCCGCUGGAUAAGACCUUAGGAAUGUAGCUUCCCUCGGGAAGUGUUAUAGCCUCUGGUGAUGCAGCGCGCCCCGGGCGAGGUCCGCGCUUCGGCAAGGAUGAUGGCGUAAUGGUUGUCGGCGGCCCGUCUUGAAACACGGACCAAGGAGUCUAACAUCUAUGCGAGUGUUCGGGUGUCAAACCCCUACGCGUAAUGAAAGUGAACGGAGGUGGGAACUUUUUGUGCACCAUCGACCGAUCCUGAUGUCCUCGGAUGGAUUUGAGUAAGAGCAUAGCUGUUGGGACCCGAAAGAUGGUGAACUAUGCCUGAAUAGGGUGAAGCCAGAGGAAACUCUGGUGGAGGCUCGCAGCGGUUCUGACGUGCAAAUCGAUCGUCAAA